GAUGAACGCUGGCGGCGUGCCUAAUACAUGCAAGUCGAGCGAACAGACGAGGAGCUUGCUCCUCUGACGUUAGCGGCGGACGGGUGAGUAACACGUGGAUAGCCUACCUAUAAGACUGGGAUAACUUCGGGAAACCGGAGCUAAUACCGGAUAAUAUAUUGAACCGCAUGGUUCAAUAGUGAAAGACGGUUUUGCUGUCACUUAUAGAUGGAUCCGCGCCGCAUUAGCUAGUUGGUAAGGUAACGGCUUACCAAGGCGACGAUGGGUAGCCGACCUGAGAGGGGGGAUGCGCCACGUGGAAACUAGAUCGAGGCACAGCCUCCAGAGGGAGCAGCGAGGGGGAAAUUUGCCGGAAGGGGGAAAAGCCUGACGGAGCAAGCCAGAGAGAGUGAGAGAGGUCUACGGGUCAAAAAACUUUUUUGUAAGGGAAAACAAAAUGUAAAAGAACAAAUGCAGGCCUGCAAGGGCCCUAAUAAAAAGCCCAGGGAUAACCACGCG
rnacentral:rRNA from 1 species